CCAUGCCUCAUUAAACCGGACAUGCAUCAUACUUGUUUGCGCAUCAUGCCAUGUCUAUGUGAUGGUUGUUUACCAUGUUGUUUGCUUCUUUCCGGUGUUGCUUCUUCGGGUUGGUUCCGAUAAUGUUGUGUUUGUGAGGACCCGUUCGACUACGUUCGUUUGUCUUUUUCAUGGACUCGUUCUUCUUCCUUGCGGGAUUUCAGGCAAGAUGAUCAUACCCUCGAAAUCACUACUAUCUUUGCUAUGCUAGUUUGCUCGCUCUUUUGCUAUGCCAAUGCUACGAUGCCUACCAUUUGCUUUCAAGCCUCCCAAAUUGCCAUGUCAAACCUCUAACCCACCAUGUCCUAGCAAACCGUUGAUUGGCUAUGUUACCGCUUUGCUCAGCCCCUCUUUUAGCGUUGUUAGUUGCACGUGAAGAUUGAAGUUUGUUCCUUGUUGGAACAUGGAGAUGUUGUUCCUUGUUGGAACAUGUUUACUUGUUGGGAUAUCACAAUAUAUCUUAUUUAAUUAAUGCAUCUAUAUACUUGGUAAAGGGUGGAAUGAUCGGCCUUAUGCCUGGUGUUUUGUUCCACUCUUGCCGCCCUAGUUUCCAUCAUAUCGGUGUUAUGUUCCCGGAUUUUGCGUUCCUUACGCGGUUGGGCUAUAAUGGGAACCCCUUGACAGUUCGCCUUAAGUAAAGCUCCUACAGCAAUGCCCAACUUUGGUUUUACCAUUUGCACUAACAACCUACCACCUUCCCUUGGGUUCUGCAGACUCAAGGGUCAUCUUUAUUCUAACCCCCCCGGGCUAGUGCUCCUCUGAGUGUUGGUCCGACCGAGUAGACUGCGGGGCCACCUCGGGGCAACUUGAGGGUUGGUUUUACUCGUAGGAUGUCUCAUCUGAGUGUGCCCUGAGAAAGAGAUAUGUGCAGCUCCUAUCGGGAUUUGUCAGCACAUUCGGGCGGUGUUGCUGGUUUAGUUUUACCCUGUCGAAAUGUCUUGUUGUACCGGGAUAUCGAGUCUGAUCGGAACGUCUUGGGUGGAGGUCUAUUCCUUCGUUGACCGUGAGAGCUUGUGAUGGGCUAAGUUGGGACACCCCUGCAGGGAUUUGAACUUUCGAAAGCCGUGCCUGCAGUUAUGGGCAGAUGGGAAUUUGUUAACGUCCAGUUGUAGAAAACCUGAACUUGACCUUAAUUAAAAUGAAUCAACCGCGUGUGUAACCGUGAUGGUCUCUUUUCGGCGGGGUCCGGGAAGUGAACACGGUUGUUGGAGUUAUGCUUGACGUAGGUUGCUAUAGGAUCACUUCUUGAUCAUACUUUUAUCGACCGUGCUUUGCCUUCUCUUCUCGCUCUCAUUUGCGUAUGUUAGCCACCAUAUAUGCUAGUCGCUUGCUGCAGCUCCACCUCAUACCUUUUACCUUACCCAUAAGCUUAAAUAGUCUUGAUCGCGAGGGUGCGAGAUUGCUGAGUCCCCGUGGCUCACAGAUACUUCCAAAACCAGCUUGCAGGUGCCGAUGAGUCCGUGCAGAUGACGCAACCAAGCUCAGGAGGAGCUCGAUGAAGAUCUUGCCCUUUGUUUUCGUUCUAGUUGAUCAGUAGUGGAGCCCAGUUGGGGUCGAUCGGGGACCUUUGUCGCAUUUGGGGUUCUUCUUUUAUUUUGGUUCCGUAGUCGGACCC
rnacentral:lncRNA from 1 species